rnacentral:rRNA from 1 species
GACGAACGCUGGCGGCGUGCUUAACACAUGCAAGUCGAACGGAAAGGCCCUGCUUUUGUGGGGUGCUCGAGUGGCGAACGGGUGAGUAACACGUGAGUAACCUGCCCUUGACUUUGGGAUAACUUCAGGAAACUGGGGCUAAUACCGGAUAGGAGCUCCUGCUGCAUGGUGGGGGUUGGAAAGUUUCGGCGGUUGGGGAUGGACUCGCGGCUUAUCAGCUUGUUGGUGGGGUAGUGGCUUACCAAGGCUUUGACGGGUAGCCGGCCUGAGAGGGUGACCGGCAACAUUGGGACUGAGAUACGGCCCAGACUCCUACGGGAGGCAGCAGUGGGGAAUAUUGCACAAUGGGCGGAAGCCUGAUGCAGCAACGCCGCGUGCGGGAUGAAGGCCUUAGGGUUGUAAACCGCUUUCGCCUGGGACGAAGCGUGAGUGACGGUAAUGGGUAAAGAAGCACCGGCUAACUACGUG